UCCUACUUCGAUGAGAAAGCGAAGGAAGAUCCAGAUUUCUUCUACAGGAUAAGGUUGGACGAUGAGGACCGUGUCAGGAACAUGUAUUGGGUGGAUGGUGCUGCAAGGAGAGCCUACAAACAUUUCCGAGAUUGCAUUUCAUUAGACGCGACGUAUCUCACUAAUAUGUACAAGAUGCCAUGCGCUCCAUUCAUAGGAAUAAAUAACCACAAUCAGUAG
rnacentral:rRNA from 1 species